AUGCAAGCUGGCGGCGUGCCUAAUCCCUGCAAGUCGCGCGAACGGACGAGAAGCUUGCUUCUCUGAUGUUAGCGGCGGACGGGUUAGUAACACGUGGAUAACCUACCUAUAAGACUGGGAUAACUUCGGGAAACCGGAGCUAAUACCGGAUAAUAUUUUGCACCGCCUGGUUCAAGAGUGAAAGACGGUCUUGCUGUCACUUAUAGAUGGAUCCGCGCUGCAUUAGCUAGUUGGUAAGGUAACGGCUUACCAAGGCAACGAUGCAUAGCCGACCUGAGAGGGUGAUCGGCCACACUGGAACUGAGACACGGUCCAGACUCCUACGGGAGGCAGCAGUAGGGAAUCUUCCGCAAUGGGCGAAAGCCUGACGGAGCAACGCCGCGUGAGUGAUGAAGGUCUUCGGAUCGUAAAACUCUGUUAUUAGGGAAGAACAUAUGUGUAAGUAACUGUGCACAUCUUGACGGUACCUAAUCAGAAAGCCACGGCUAACUACGUG
rnacentral:rRNA from 1 species